rnacentral:rRNA from 1 species
UACGUAGGGUGCAAGCGUUAAUCGGAAUUACUGGGCGUAAAGCGUGCGCAGGCGGUUUUGUAAGUCUGACGUGAAAUCCCCGGGCUCAACCUGGGAAUUGCGUUGGAGACUGCAAGGCUGGAGUCUGGCAGAGGGGGGUAGAAUUCCACGUGUAGCAGUGAAAUGCGUAGAGAUGUGGAGGAACACCGAUGGCGAAGGCAGCCCCCUGGGAUAACACUGACGCUCAUGCACGAAAGCGUGGGGAGCAAACAGG